rnacentral:lncRNA from 1 species
GCAGGGGGCGGUCCCGCCGCUCCUGCGUCAGAAGGGGUCCGGUUUUCGCACCUUCCCUGACGUCAAACCUCCAUCAGGGUUGCAACGCCACGUUGCCUUGGAUGCCUGCGUGAGUGGAGUCGCGUCUUGGGGCCCGCGUCCUGCGAGACGCGCUCCCGCCCCGCUUCUCCCCUGCGGGUCGCAGGGGCCGAAGGCGCCUAUUUCUGGCUCCGCGGGCAGCGGGGCUGCGGCGCUUGGACUGUGUGGGGUUCGGGCGCCGCCACGGAACCGGAAUAAGAAGGGAGACCGCCUGGCGCGGUCCUCGGUCUCCACCGCGGCCCGGAAGGAAUCCGGGAGGCCUCCGCGGAGAUAUUUGCCUGAACUAAUACAGCUGAUGAAAUACCUGACUUUUUCUGCUCCAGAGGCUGAUUUAAUUGAUUAA